GACAGAGGAGGCAAGCGUUAUCCGGAGUUAUUGGGCGUAAAGGGUGCGUAGGCGGCUGAUUAAGUCUGGGGUGAAAGUCCACGGCUUAACUGUGGGGGGGCGUUUGAAACUGGAUGGCUUGAGGGGGGGUGGGGUUGAUGGAAUUGCCAGUGUAGGGGUGAAAUGCGUAGAUAUCGGGAAGAACGCCUGUGGUGAAGGCGGUCAUCUGGGCUGAAACUGACGCUGAGGUACGAAAGCUAGGGGAGCGAACGGG
rnacentral:rRNA from 1 species